UACAGAGGUCUCAAGCGUUGUUCGGAAUCACUGGGCGUAAAGGGUGCGUAGGCUGCACGGAAAGUCAGAGGUGAAAUCCCGGACGCUCAACUUCGGAAUUGCCUCCGUAUACUCCCGUGCUUGAGGACUGGAGAGGAGUCUGGAAUCACAGUGGAGCAGUGAAAUGCGUAGAUAUUGUGAGGAACACUAGUGGCGAAGGCGAGACUCUGGACAGGUUCCUGACGCUGGAGGCAACCGGAAGGCCCAG
rnacentral:rRNA from 1 species